rnacentral:piRNA from 1 species
UGAGAUACAUUUCACUGAUGUCUAAUAGU